AGUUCCGACGUUCUGAUUGCAUUCAAACUUUUCUGCAAUGUUCUACUAAAACAGAGGGUUUCUAGCAAUAGAUGGCGAUUUGAUUAUUAUCCAGUACACAAACCUAUUUCAACGUGUACUAAAAGUUGACGUUAGUAAACUACUACUUACUUUCUUAUUAACAAUUCACUUUGCCACUGAGUAGAUUUUUUUUAGUGUCACACUGAAGUUGUGUGCCCUUUAGGAUUUGUAUGUUAAUCAAGCGUCGAGUCCCGUAUGUCAGUAUUACAUCAAAUGACAAGACAAUAUUGUUUACCUUUUUCUAGUGAAUCGUGAGCGUCGUCGGUCAGUCCAUCAAGUAAAACUUGAACAGCGUAGAAUACCUAAUUUCCUCCGCUUUCAACCCGGAAAUUUGCAGUUUAUUUUCAUAUUUCUACAAAUAUUCCGCCUCCCCGCUACCAUGGCCGAUAAGGAGAACAAGGAAAAACCAAAGGUGGAUCUAGGCCUCCUCGAGGAAGACGACGAAUUCGAAGAGUUCCCCGCAGAAGAUUGGACGGGCAACAAGGAAGACGAGGAAGAGCUCAGCGUUUGGGAGGACAAUUGGGACGAUGACAAUGUGGAGGAUGAUUUCAACCAGCAGCUCCGGGCCCAACUGGAAAAGCAGAAAUCUAAUUAAGGAUGUGGUGGCUGAACAUUUUCGAAUGAGUGAAUAAACCUAAGUUUAAGCUUUGAA